CGACUUGGAGGUUGUGCCCUUGAGGCGUGGCUUCCCGAGCUAACGCGUUAAGUCGACCGCCUGGGGAGUACGGCCGCAAGGUUAAAACUCAAAUGAAUUGACGGGGGCCCGCACAAGCGGUGGAGCAUGUGGUUUAAUUCGAUGCAACGCGAAGAGCCUUACCUGGUCUUGACAUCCACGGAAUUUGGCAGAGAUGCCUUAGUGCCUUCGGGAACCGUGAGACAGGUGCUGCAUGGCUGUCGUCAGCUCGUGUUGUGAAAUAUUAGGUUAAGUCCCGCAACGAGCGCAACCCUUAUCCUUUGUUGCCAGCGGUCCGGCCGGGAACUCAAAGGAGACUGUCAGUGAUAAACUGGAGGAAGGUGGGGAUGACGUCAAGUCAUCAUGGCCCUUACGAGUAGGGCUACACACGUGCUACAAUGGCGCAUACAAAGAGAAGCGACCUCGCGAGAGCAAGCGGACCUCAUAAAGUGCGUCGUAGUCCGGAUUGGAGUCUGCAACUCGACUCCAUGAAGUCGGAAUCGCUAGUAAUCGUAGAUCAGAAUGCUACGGUGAAUACGUUCCCGGGCCUUGUACACACCGCCCGUCACACCAUGGGAGUGGGUUGCAAAAGAAGUAGGUAGCUUAACCUUCGGGAGGGCGCUUACCACUUUGUGAUUCAUGACUGGGGUGAAGUCGUAACAAGGUAUC
rnacentral:rRNA from 1 species